rnacentral:rRNA from 1 species
AUUGAACGCUAGCGGCAUGCUUAACACAUGCAGGUCGAACGGUAGCAGAUCCAGCUUGCUGGAUGCUGACGAGUGGCGGACGGGUGAGUAACACGUAGGAAUCUACCUUGUAGUGGGGAAUAACUUGGGGAAACUCAAGCUAAUACCGCAUAAGUCCUAAGGGAGAAAGCGGGGGACCGUAAGGCCUCGCGCUAUAAGAUGAGCCUGCGUCGGAUUAGCUUGUUGGUGGGGUAAAGGCCUACCAAGGCAAUGAUCCGUAGCUGGUCUGAGAGGAUGACCAGCCACACUGGGACUGAGACACGGCCCAGACUCCUACGGGAGGCAGCAGUGGGGAAUAUUGGACAAUGGGCGGAAGCCUGAUCCAGCAAUGCCGCGUGUGUGAAGAAGGCCUGCGGGUUGUAAAGCACUUUUAUCAGGAAAGAAAAUCUCGGGGUUAAUAGCCCCGGGCCUUGACGGUACCUGAAGAAUAAGCACCGGCUAACUCCGUG